AUGAGCAAACUGUCAGUCAGCGUCCUACGUUCGCUCAGGAUGGACAUAAAAUACGUUUUGGUAGAUUUUUUCACAGACAACACCGUUCAUAUAUGUGAACUUUCACAAAUAAAACACAAAAAUAUGUCAAAACUACACCCCGAGGCCAUUCACAAGUGGAACAAAGAUGAGGAAGCAUAUGUUUACUGGAAGAAAACUUCGUCAGGCGAGCUGCAGCGUUGGCCUUGUCGAGUCAUCCAGUUUAGUGGAGAGCGUCAGCCCUUAAUUGACUUGAGAAAAAAAUUUGAAAAUGGCUGUGACUUUGACAGUAUACCCCUCUUUGCAACAGAGGAAACAUUAGGAAAGGGUAGAAGAGAGAAAGUAAAAAGGUCCUCAACAGAUGUUGGUGAGACUUCAUUUCUGGACCCGGAAAAUGCACCAGUAACCAAAAAAAAGAAAAAGACCAAAAACAUCAUUCAACAGAAGAUUAUGGCUGCGGUGAAACAAAGCUGCACUCAAAUAAAUGAACCAAGACCUGCCGUGGGAGUGCUGAAGGAUUCAAGUGUACCAAGUCCUUCGUCUCCUCAGCCAUGUAAGAGGUCAGACAUGGCUGAAGAGAUCAAAGAGUUUAAAAAUGAAAUUAAAGAGCUUAAAGAAGAUUUAAAAUAUGAGCGUCGCUUCAGGAUAAAAGCAGAGAGAGAGCUGAGGGAGUGGAAAGAAAUGCAUGCUGUUGUGCAGGAGCUAAAAGGCACAGUAGGAGAAAUAAAGAUGUGCAUUUCAAAGCACAAGCCUGGCACUCUGCAGACCUCAUCUUCUCAAAACAUCUGUUCUCAAACUCAAGAACCAUGCUCUGCUCAAGGAAGUAAGCAGGUAGUCGAUUACAUCAAUUUGGGGGAGGGGGUGCGGAUCAAGAGAAGCCAGUUUGAUAGGAUCAACACCCAAGAUUUUAAAAAAUUUACCAGCGAGCUUUUCCUUGUAACCUUUGGGCGAGAAACUCUUGCCACUCACUCUCUAAAUGGAAGAAAGGCACCCAAUGCAGAGACCAGCAAGGAGGCACUUCCAGCUCACACAGUGUCCGUCUUAAUAGACUAUAUCCAAAAGAAAUUCAGUGUGUCUUCAUCUGAUGUAAAGGCAGUCAUAAGAACCAAGCUUAACAACGAGGACAAGCUAUUCAAAAAACGAAACCUUCCUGAGUAAUGAAAAUAGACUAUAAAGUGUUUAUUUGCAAAUGAUUAAUUUAUUAAUUUAGUUUCUAACUCUCAGCCGGUUAUUUAAAGUUUAAAUAAAUAAAAAAAUGUAUUGUUAAAUUGCAGAUUCACUGUUGUUUUGUACAUAAAUUAAUAUAUGUGUGAAAAUAAAACUAUUUUCUGGAUAACCCGGUUGUAUCUGUACAGCACUUUAUUAGUACUUGUACUUUAGUUGUAAUCUUUAUUUUAGUACUACUGCAGUUGUACUGCAGUUUAGAAAUACUUCAGCUGUACUGCAUCUGCUCCAAUACAUCUAAAGUACUAGUAAAAUAAUACUGAUACAGAUUCAGUACAGCUGAAGUACUUCUAAAAUACAACUGCAGUACAACUGCAGUAGUACUACAAUACAAAAGUAAAACUUCAGACUUCUUUUUUUUACAGUAAUACUGCAAUAUUGCAGUUUUUUCGUGUCCAAAAAACUGCAUUUUUCUACAUGUAACAAAAACUGUAGUAUUACUUCUAAAAAACUGCAGUAAUUUUUUGUAAGGGUGAGGAAUAAUUUUAAGGACAAAAACAACAGCAGUUAACCAUAAAGAUACUGGUCAGGGUAUAUUUUAGCAAACCGUUUAACAAUCAUGUUUCUCAAUCGGCAAAGCAAUCUGUGUACUUUUUCUUUUUUUAAAUCAGAUUGGCAAAACAUUUGAUUUAGAUUGGAAGUCCAGAGCACAUCAAACUGUUUCUGAUUUCAAGUCAAUACAGCUAUAAAAAGCAAAACAUUGAAAAUAAAUAAAGUAUACACAGACACAAAUGUGUUGUCAGGUCAACAAACACACAAAGUGUAAUAAAAUGUACACUUUAGGCACACAUGAUGAAUAGAGAUGCAGUUUUCACUGCUUUAGGGUUAACAGAGCUUUAGAUUUCUACCCUAGUUUAACUUUGUACUUGUCUGGAUAAGCUCUGAAUACAGAAAAUACAGGUUUUAGAGUCAGUAAAUUGUGAAAUUUAGCUAGCAUGAAACACAAGUUAUAUUUUUUAUAUUUUCUCUUUUGAGCAGUCAAACAAUCCAAAGAAAAUAUCUUUAUAAUAGAAAGAGUAGUAACUUACAAAGUUAUAUUGAAUGAACACAAAAAACUGUAAUGAUAACUAUAACAAGAAAUAUAACUACAAGGAUUUAAUAACUCUAGAGAAGAGUGAAGUCCACAACAACUAUAAUAACUGUUAUAAAGGUUAUAUUAGGGAUUGUACUGGUUUUGGAAACUGUAAUGGUUCCUGUGGCUCGUUAAAACCACUCAAUCCUAAUGAAAUUUGUCCCAAUACACUCAAGGAAACCAUUUUCAAUGGUUUUAAUGGUUAAAAGUUGAUGGUUCGUAAUGGUAUUUGUAGAGGAAACCAUUAGAAUUUCUGUGAUGGUUCUAUUGUUUUUAUUGUUUCAGCAGGGAGGUAGUAUCACAUGGCAACAUCUCCAAACUCUCCAGUUUUCUGUAAGCACACAGUGUCGAUUCUGGUCCAGAAGGGGGCAGAUUUGAUCCUGGCGCUCUUCAUGAGUUCCCUGGAGGAGAAUCUAGAGGAGCAGAACUUGUUGAGAUGAUCAGACUGGAGCUCUCGCUCAUCCGCAGCACAUCAGAU
rnacentral:lncRNA from 1 species